rnacentral:rRNA from 1 species
ACACGACUACAUUAGAUACCCCUGUAGUCCUAGCCGUAAACGAUACUCGCUAGGUGUCGGCCACGGUGCGACCGUUGUCGGUGCCGUAGGGAAGCCGUGAAGCGAGCCACCUGGGAAGUACGGCCGCAAGGUUGAAACUUAAAGGAAUUGGCGGGGGAGCACCACAACGGGUGGAGCUUGCGGUUUAAUUGGAUUCAACGCCGGAAAUCUUACCGGGACCGACAGCAACAUGAAGGCCAGGCUGAAGACUUUGCCGGAUUAGCUG